rnacentral:rRNA from 1 species
GGAUUAGAUACCCUAUUAUUAUAGAUAUAAAUUUUGGACUUGAGUAGUAUUAGUUAUGAUCUUGAAACUUAAAGAAUUUGGCGGUAUUUUAGUCUAUUUAGAGGAAUCUGUUCCAUUAUCGAUAUUCCACGUUGAACCUUACUUAAUUUAUUAAUAUGUAUACCGCCGUUUAUUGAAAAUCUUAUUAGGGUAAAAUUUUCUUAAUACAAAAUUUUGUAAUAUUUCAGGUCAAGGUGCAGUUUAUAAUUAAGUGGAAAUGGAU